UAAAACCCUGCUGCAGUCAUUGAAACCUAUGCCAUGCCCAGGAAUUUGGUCUGAAUGUGUAUUGGUUUGUUGCAUCAUUGCCAUGAUUAGUUAUUGCUGUUCAUUUGUUGUUGUUUAAUCAAUUGCUUGAAGCUGAGCUUGAUACCAUGCUGAAACUUGCCAUGAUAAAUCCUGUUGUUUUUCCAGAAAACUAGAUGCAUGUAUAUUGGCUGCUGCUUUUGUUCUUGUUGCACGAUGACAUCGUUUCUAAUGCCCUGCUUUUGAAUGAGGCCUUGUUUCGAAU
rnacentral:lncRNA from 1 species